rnacentral:rRNA from 1 species
UGACGUCAAGUCCUCAUGGCCCUUAUGUCCAGGGCUACACACGUGCUACAAUGGCCGGUACAGGAGUGACGCGAAGCCGCGAGGUGGAGCAAAUCGCAGAAAGCCGGCCUUAGUUCGGAUUGGAGUCUGAAACUCGACUCCAUGAAGGUGGAAUCGCUAGUAAUCGCGCAUCAGCAUGGCGCGGUGAAUACCGGUUCCCGGGCCUU